rnacentral:misc_RNA from 1 species
UACUGGCAGGAUCAACCAGGCAACAAUAAAGAAUAAGUAUCCUCUUCCGUGGAUCGACGAGCUCUUCGACCAGCUUCAAGGUGCUCAACACUUUUCGAAGAUAGACUUGAGAUCGGGAUCCCAUCAGCUGCGAGUCAGAGAGCAGGAUGUACAAAGGACAGCGUUUCGUAUCACGCUAUGGGCACUACGAGUUCUUAGUGAUGCCUUUCGGAUUGACGAAUGCGCCAGCAGUGUUCAUGGCUUUGAUGAACAAAAUCUUCGCUCCGUACCUUGACAGCUUCACAGUUGUGUUCAUCGACGACGUGUUGGUCUACUCGAAGUCAAGAGAGGAGCAUGAGCAGCAUUUGAGGACGUCUCUACAGUUGUUGCGCGACAACCAAUUGUACGCAAAGCUCAGCA